rnacentral:miRNA from 1 species
GAUGGGUGUGAAUCUAGUGGUUC